rnacentral:rRNA from 1 species
GUGGGGAAUAUUGGACAAUGGGCGCAAGCCUGAUCCAGCAAUGCCGCGUGUGUGAAGAAGGUUUUCGGAUUGUAAAGCACUUUCGGCGGGGACGAUGAUGACGGUACCCGCAGAAGAAGCCCCGGCUAACUUCGUGCCAGCAGCCGCGGUAAUACGAAGGGGGCUAGCGUUGCUCGGAAUGACUGGGCGUAAAGGGCGCGUAGGCGGUUUGUACAGUCAGGUGUGAAAUUCCCGGGCUCAACCUGGGGGCUGCACUUGAUACGUAUGGACUUGAGUGGGGAAGAGGGUCGUGGAAUUCCCAGUGUAGAGGUGAAAUUCGUAGAUAUUGGGAAGAACACCGGUGGCGAAGGCGGCGACCUGGUCCUUGACUGACGCUGAGGCGCGAAAGCGUGGGGAGCAAACAGGAUUAGAAACCCUUGUAGUCC